CGCGACAUGAUGAACAUUACAUUCUUACCUACAUUAUUUGAACUAGAAACCUGUAACCAACUCUCAACUGAUGCA
ensembl:snoRNA snoRNA:Me28S-U2134a